rnacentral:rRNA from 1 species
GGAGGGUGCAAGCGUUAAUCGGAAUUACUGGGCGUAAAGCGCGCGUAGGCGGUUUAUCAAGUUGGAUGUGAAAGCCCUGGGCUUAACCUGGGAACUGCAUUCAAAACUGAUAGACUAGAGUACAGUAGAGGUGAGUGGAAUUUCCGGUGUAGCGGUGAAAUGCGUAGAUAUCGGAAGGAACAUCAGUGGCGAAGGCGACUCACUGGAUUGAUACUGACGCUGAGGUGCGAAGGCACGGGGGAGCGAACAGGAUUAGAGACCCUGGUAGUCCAUGCGGUAAACGAUGAGAACUAGCUGUUGGGAUGGGAAGACAUCUUAGUAGCGAAGCUAACGCGUUAAGUUCUCCGCCUGGGAGUACGGUCGCAAGAUUA